rnacentral:lncRNA from 1 species
CCCCCAUGCCACCUGCUCCUUGGCCACCACAUUACAAGCUCAUGUGCUGUAAACUAAAGCACUAAGCUCCUGGGUAAGGUUGUCUGUGAGCUGAAGGGAGGGUGAUUCUUUGCCAGGCUCAGCACCAGCCAUCCUGGGAGACAGCACCCACCCUUCCUUCCUUCUGUACGGUUAAGCAUAAGUCCAGCUAGUCCUGAGGCAAGAAUACGCCACAAGGAGAGUCCAAGGUCACCCCAGGAGGUCCAGCCCAGGCGUGGGCAUUCCUCAUCCAAAGAGCGCUGAAAGGAUGCUCCCCGGGCCUGGGUGCAGAGUCAGCUCUGCUCAAAGUGACCCCUGAUAGUUCACAACCAUCUGAGGCCCCAGAGGAAACCUCCGGCUCAGCACCAAAAACGAAGUGGCAUUUAAGUCCGUCAGACCCCACGUGUUAGGAACAGACUAGGUCCUCCUUCCUACUGGCCUCCUCUUUCCUACACUGUGUGACUCUCUUUGCUCUCACAGACCUGGGGGCCCCAAGGGCUCCGCACACUACGCUGCUGGGGGCUGCAUUCGGGGAGGCCUGUGCACACCUUGCCUCUCAUCCAGGGGUAUCUGGAGCUCAUCCAGCCAUCAGCUUCUCCAGGGAACGUGCUAUGCCUUUGGCUCCAUAGCCCCAUACGACGGCUCACCACCGGCACACACGCCAGACCUUCAGACAUACUUAGCACUUGACCACACAGCUGCAGCUCUUCGACUUGGCUCCUGGCAGGCGGGGACCUCUUAUCUCUGCAUUUCUAUACAACCUAGUGUCAGCUCGGACACGGGGUAGGUACGUGCUCACUGUUGCUCGUUUGACUUGCUCAGUUUGAGGAAAUAACUCUGUAAAUGGUUCAACAUUGACGUAAUGGACACAGACAAGACCAACUGAUGCAUUUGAAAUUUAUACCAAUGGACAUACAAUGGCAGAUGCUGUGGAUUCAUGCACUGAUGAAAACUCCACCUUCAAGAAGCUGGUAACCUAUUUAGAAAUUAUACUUUUCCAGCAGUCCUGCUCCUCAGCAAACUGGAGAAAACUCUAAUUCAAAAGGACAUAUUUGCCUCAAUGUUCAUUGCAGCACUAUUUACAAAGGCCAAGAUUUGGAGGCAACCUAAGUGUCCAUCAAAAGAUGAAUGGAUAAGAUGUGGUAUCUACCACCGUGUAUACACAUGUAUACACACACACAAAAUAGAAUAUUACUCAGCCGUAAAACAGAAUGACAUAAUACCAUUUGCAGUAACACGGAUAAACCUAGAGAUUAUGACACUAAGUGAAGCAGGUCCGGCCAAGAAAGACAAAUAUCAUGUCAUAUCACUUAUAUGUGGAAUCUAAAAGAGGGAUACAAAUGAAUUUAUUUACAAAACAGAAACAGACCCACAGACUUAGAAAGCAAACUGAUGGCUACCAAAUGGGAAAGUGGGGGAGCGGGGAGGAGAAUUAGCAGUUUGAGAUUAGCAGAUACAGACUAUUUAAAAUAGAUAAACAGCAAGGUCCGACUGCGUAGCACAGGGAACUAUAGUCAAUAUCUUAAAAUAAACUAUAAUGGAAAAUUAUCUGAAAGUUUCAUAUGUAUAAACAAACAUAUAUAUCUGAGAGAGAUAUAUAGUUAUAUAUAUAACUAAAUCACUUGGCUCUAUAGCAGAAACUAACACAACAUUAUAAAUCAACUAUACUUCGAUUUAAAAAAAAAUUUUUUUAGGGAGUUCCUAUCGUGGUGCAGUGGAAAUGAAUCCGACUAGGAACCAUGAGGUUGCGGGUUUGAUUCCUGGCCUUGCUCAGUGGGUUAAGGAUCUGGUGUUGCCGUGAUCUGCGGUGUAGGUCGCAGACACAGCUCAGAUCUGGCGUUGCUGUGGCUGUGGGGUAGGCCGGCAGCUAGAGCUCUGAUUAGACCCCUAGCCUGGGAACCUCCAUGUGCCUUGGGUGCGGCCUUAAAAAGACAAAAUAAUAAUAAUAUAAAUUUUUUUAAAGUUUUAAUUUUUUAAUUAGACUUUUUAUGAUCCUUCAUGAACAAAGAUGAUCCUUAUGGAGAAGACAUGGCAUUUAGGCUGUUUUCCCAGGAAAAGGGCGUAUCUUCCUGAGAAAUCAUUCCUUCAUUCCCACAUCCUCCUCUGCGUCAGGCUGGGUACUGAAAUUAAACAGGCAGAGGUGGGCCCUGGGCCUGGACGGCUCAGAGACCAGUGGCGCCAAAGCUAUGUCCACAACGAAGGCAAUGGCCUGGGAUGGGUGCUGCUGAGAAGUAUGGCCUGGGCUCUGGAGUGAGGAGGGAGCAAGUGAAUUCCUCCUGGGCUCAGGAAGGGAAGACGAAGCUUGAGAAGGUCCCCAGAGGAGGGGCCGUUUGAAGGCUGGACGGGUCCAGACGGACAAGUGUUCCAGGUCUCGGGGUAUCCCCAAAGGCAUGACAACCCGGCAGUGCUCUGAAAAUGGAACUGUCUGCCCUGCUCCUGCUGCGGGUGACGGCUUGAUGACAGCCCAAGGUCAGGUGACACCUUUGGCCAGGAAAUGGAGGCCUUUGCUUCUCCCAAAUUAGUCCGUUUGUCUCAAGGCCUCUUCCUGUCUGAAAACCGCUGCCUGGAUCCACUUCCGCUAACAGUCCCAGUGGUUAGAGUUGGGUGAACAGGCUUUCUGGCCCACAAGGCAGACCUCGUAGCUGAAAA